GCUCUGGAUUGUGGUCUGGACCCUAAGGAAGAGAGAAGACAUGCAGGGCUGGGCUUCUAAUCCUGUGACCACCAAGGGGGGGAGAAGACCACUGCAGGUGCAGUUUCUCGAGGGAGCUCCCAUCCCCCUGUGGCACAUGGCAGGAAAGAGGUACAAACAAGGGACUGCACUUGGUGAAGAGGCCAACUGCUGCUGACUGUCCAUCGGCUUGGGCUAAGGGACUUUUGGCCUUUGAUGGAGAAUGCCCUGAGCUUAGCAGCAACUAGGCACAAAAGAUCAAAAAGUGCUCAACUGCGGAACAGAUGUGAUGCCACACACCUGUGAGCCAAACCCUCGGAGUUGGAAGCAGGAAGACGCUGAGAUUCCCGGACCAGCCUGGGCUAUACAGAGAGAACCUACUCCAGAUGAAUGAAGCAACAGCAACGAAGAGUCAAGUCCCAAUUACGUAAAUGUGUGAGUGUGUGUGUGUGAGUGUGUGUGUGUGAGUGUGUGUGUGUGUGGUGUGUGUGUGUGUGGCAUGUGUGGUGUG
ensembl:lncRNA